rnacentral:rRNA from 1 species
AUACAACUUUCAGCAACGGAUCUCUUGGCUCUCGCAUCGAUGAAGAACGCAGCGAAAUGCGAUAAGUAAUGUGAAUUGCAGAAUUCAGUGAAUCAUCGAAUCUUUGAACGCACCUUGCGCUCCUUGGUAUUCCAAGGAGCACGCCUGUUUGAGUGUUGUGAACUCUAACCUGCAAACUUACUUGCAGGCUUGGA